GACGAACGCUGGCGGCGUGCUUAACACAUGCAAGUCGAACGGAAAGGCCCUGCUUUUGUGGGGUGCUCGAGUGGCGAACGGGUGAGUAACACGUGAGUAAUCUGCCCUUGACUUUGGGAUAACUUCAGGAAGCUGGGGCUAAUACCGGAUAGGAGCUCCUGCUGCAUGGUGGGGGUUGGAAAGUUUCGGCGGUUGGGGAUGGACUCGCGGCUUAUCAGCUUGUUGGUGGGGUAGUGGCUUACCAAGGCUUUGACGGGUAGCCGGCCUGAGAGGGUGACCGGCCACAUUGGGACUGAGAUACGGCCCAGACUCCUACGGGAGGCAGCAGUGGGGAAUAUUGCACAAUGGGCGGAAGCCUGAUGCAGCAACGCCGCGUGCGGGAUGACGGCCUUCGGGUUGUAAACCGCUUUCGCCUGUGACGAAGCGUGAGUGACGGUAAUGGGUAAAGAAGCACCGGCUAACUACGUG
rnacentral:rRNA from 1 species